UACGUAGGUGGCGAGCGUUGUCCGGAUUUACUGGGCGUAAAGCGCGCGCAGGCGGGCUGGUCAGUCCGGGGUGAAAUUUCACGGCUCAACCGUGAGCGGUCCCCGGAUACUGCCAGUCUUGAGGUGUCUAGAGGAGAGCGGAAUUCCCGGUGUAGUGGUGGAAUGCGUAGAUAUCGGGAAGAACACCAGUGGCGAAAGCGGCUCUCUGGGGACCACCUGACGCUGAGGCGCGAAAGCGUGGGGAGCGAACCGG
rnacentral:rRNA from 1 species